rnacentral:lncRNA from 1 species
UUGUAUCGAUCUUUUCACACAGGAUCAGCGUACCUUGGAGGAGUCUGCACAGAGUGGAAAGUGGGGCUGUCCGAAGAGAGAGUGGGGAGUUAUUAUGGCGUAUACGUAUUCGCGCAUGAGCUUGCACACAGUCUUGGCUGUGACCAUGACGGCGAGGCUACUCUUAACUGGCCUAAAGGACAUAUUGGGUCAAAAGACUGCGAUUGGAAUCUUGGCUUCAUCAUGAGUUAUAUGUUUGUAAAACCGAACAUGUACAGGUUCUCUAAGUGCUGCCAGCGAGAAAUUAUGAACGUGUACAACCGCCCUGAAUACCAGUGUCUCCUUGUGAGGAACAGCCUUCAAACCAGGAUAUUU